UGUCAGCCCCCCGGGGAUGGCGUACUCCGCUCCGCACAGCACAUCUCCAAGCUGCAGGCAGUGCAACCUGCUAUUUAUGCCAUCACGUCUCACCGAGUGCUGACAAAAAGGACAAAUUUCCCCAUCUGUGAGAUGACAGUGAUUCCGCAGGCAGCCCGGGAGUACCCAAAAGUGUGACGACUGUUAACACUGCACGUUAAAGGGAAUAAGUGGUGAGUGAAGAGCUAUCUAGAAGUAAGACUUCAACCCAGAUGUCCUGUCUUAGCAGCCACGUGUGUAAUACCUGGGCUGAAUUCUUUCUUGGGAUGGUGAUUUCCAUUUUACAGCCACAUCCCAUUUCUACUGGCUGCUCCACAGAGGAGAUGAUAGCCUACCACCUGGUAGCGGGUGAUGGAGUUGCUUCUUUAUCUCUAGUGCUUGGUUCAGUGCUGAAGGUCCUGGGUUCAAACA